CGUGUAGGCGGCCUAUUAAGUCAGAUGUGAAAGCCCACGGCUUAACCGUGGAACUGCAUUUGAAACUGAUAGACUUGAGUAUGAGAAGGGGUAGUGGAAUUCCCAGUGUAGCGGUGAAAUGCGUAGAUAUUGGGAAGAACACCAGUAGCGAAGGCGGCUACCUGGCUCAUUACUGACGCUAAUGCGCGAAAGCGCGGGGAGCAAACA
rnacentral:rRNA from 1 species